GCCCCCAUAGCUCAAUGGAUAGAGUAUCCCGCUUCGGACGGGAUGAUGGCGGUUCGAAUCCGUCUGGGGGCA
rnacentral:tRNA from 1 species